GACGAACGCUGGCGGCGUGCUUAACACAUGCAAGUCGAACGAUGAAGCUAGAGCUUGCUCUGGUGAAUUAGUGGCGAACGGGUGAGUAACACGUGAGUAACCUGCCCCGAACUCUGGGAUAACUGCUGGAAACGGUAGCUAAUACUGGAUACGACCUACGAUGGCAUCUUCUGUAGGUGGAAAGAAUUUCGGUUCGGGAUGGACUCGCGGCCUAUCAGCUUGUUGGUGAGGUAAUGGCUCAACAAGGCGAAGACGGGUAGCCGGCCUGAGAGGGUGACCGGCCACACUGGGCCUGAGAAACGGCCCAGACUCCUGCGGGAGGCAGCAGUGGGGAAUAUUGCACAAGUGGCGCAAGCCUGAUGCAGCAACGCCGCGUGAGGGAUGACGGCCGUCGUGUUGUAAACCUCUUUUAGUAGGGAAGAAGCGAGAGUGACGGUACCUGCAGAAAAAGCACCGGCUAACUACGUGCCAGCAGCCGCAGUAA
rnacentral:rRNA from 1 species